AUUGAACGCUGGCGGCAUGCUUUACACAUGCAAGUCGAACGGUAACAGGCCGCAAGGUGCUGGCGAGUGGCGAACGGGUGAGUAAUGUAUCGGAACGUGCCCAGUCGUGGGGGAUAACGCAGCGAAAGCUGCGCUAAUACCGCAUACGAUCUAUGGAUGAAAGCGGGGGACCGUAAGGCGUCGCGCGAUUGGAGCGGCCGAUAUCAGACUAGGUAGUUGGUGGGGUAAAGGCUCACCAAGCCAACGAUCUGUAGCUGGUCUGAGAGGACGACCAGCCACACUGGGACUGAGACACGGCCCAGACUCCUACGGGAGGCAGCAGUGGGGAAUUUUGGACAAUGGGCGCAAGCCUGAUCCAGCAAUGCCGCGUGCAGGAAGAAGGCCUUCGGGUUGUAAACUGCUUUUGUACGGAACGAAACGGUCUGGGUUAAUACCUCGGGCUAAUGACGGUACCGUAAGAAUAAGCACCGGCUAACUACGUGCCAGCCGCCGCAGUAA
rnacentral:rRNA from 1 species